AGUUCUUCGCCAGGCUGUGGAGUCUGCACACUGGAUUCAUGACCUUCCCCGAGUUCUGGCCAGGAAGCUUCUUGCCCAAUUCAAAUGGUUACAAAGUUCAGCUGGAGAUUUCCUUCUUCCCGUGGCAUUUUCCUGUUGCUCCUCUGGCCACCCUCCCAAUGGAUCCCUGUGGUCCAUGGCAGGAAUGGCUUGCUUGGGGACCCAGUGAGCUCCUAGAGCCCUUCUGCUACUUCUUCUACCCCUGUAUUUUACACAGCUGUCUAAAUUGACUCAGCGCCAGGUCUGCUGCAGUUUGCUGGAGGUCCACUCCAGACCCUAUUUACCUGGAUAUCACCAGCGGAGGCUGCAGAAUAGCAAAGAUUGCUUCCUGGUCCUUCCUCUGGAAGCUUCAUCCCAGAGGGGCACUGGCCUGAUGUCAGCUGGAGCUCUCCUGUAUGAGAUUUUCUGUAAAUGCUGCCUACCCCCACUGCCUCUGCCUGAUGACGUCCUCUGGGUGCUUGUGUGAGAAUCAUGCAGUGACCACAUCAUCACCCACAGCUGAUGACUCAGAGUGGACCCCCUAUUCAGCCCAGAGCAGGAACCCAAGCCUAUGAAGUGAACUGUAGGAUGUGGUAUCAGCCAGUAGAGGUACUGGAG
rnacentral:antisense_RNA from 1 species